rnacentral:rRNA from 1 species
GCUUACGGCCACACCACCCUGAGCACGCCCGCUCUCCUCUGUUCUCGGAAGCCAAGCAGGGUCGGGCCUGGUUAGUACUUGGAUGGGAGACCGCCUGGGAAUACCAGGUGCUGUAAGCAU